UGAUAGAUGAUUCCAUUGUAAUGCUCAAUUUUGUACAAAUGAUUUCUAGUAUUCCCCCAACUUAUAAAUUACAAAAAUACAGUACAUCUCUCUCUAAGGAGACGCGAGCAACCAGAAGGCGGUCUGGUCGUGUCNUUCCCCCAACUUAUAAAUUACAAAAAUACAGUACAUCUCUCUCUAAGGAGACGCGAGCAACCAGAAGGCGGUCUGGUCGUGUCUGAAUCAGACGACUUGAGUAAGCAUGCAUCGGAAAACAGAGUACAUCUCAUAUAUCAUUUUCAGACAAAAGAAUAGAGCACAAUGCA
rnacentral:lncRNA from 1 species